UACGGGGGGGGGCAAGCGUUUGUUCGGAAUUACUGGGCGUAAAGGGCUCGUAGGCGGCCAACUAAGUCAGACGUGAAAUCCCUCGGCUUAACCGGGGAACUGCGUCUGAUACUGGAUGGCUUGAGGUUGGGAGAGGGAUGCGGAAUUCCAGGUGUAGCGGUGAAAUGCGUAGAUAUCUGGAGGAACACCGGUGGCGAAGGCGGCAUCCUGGACCAAUUCUGACGCUGAGGAGCGAAAGCCAGGGGAGCAAACGGG
rnacentral:rRNA from 1 species